rnacentral:rRNA from 1 species
GUGGGGAAUAUUGCGCAAUGGGCGGAAGCCUGACGCAGCGACGCCGCGUGGGGGAUGACGGCCUUCGGGUUGUAAACCUCUUUCGCCAGGGACGAAGAGCAAUUGACGGUACCUGGAGAAGAAGCACCGGCCAACUACGUGCCAGCAGCCGCGGUAACACGUAGGGUGCGAGCGUUGUCCGGAAUUAUUGGGCGUAAAGAGCUCGUAGGCGGUGUGUCGCGUCGGCCGUGAAAACUUGGGGCUUAACUCUGAGCGUGCGGUCGAUACGGGCAUCACUUGAGUUCGGCAGGGGAGACUGGAAUUCCUGGUGUAGCGGUGAAAUGCGCAGAUAUCAGGAGGAACACCGGUGGCGAAGGCGGGUCUCUGGGCCGAUACUGACGCUGAGGAGCGAAAGCGUGGGGAGCGA